rnacentral:rRNA from 1 species
AAAUUGAAGAGUUUGAUCAUGGCUCAGAUUGAACGCUGGCGGCAGGCCUAACACAUGCAAGUCGAACGGUAACAGGAAGCAGCUUGCUGCUUCGCUGACGAGUGGCGGACGGGUGAGUAAUGUCUGGGAAGCUGCCUGAUGGAGGGGGAUAACUACUGGAAACGGUGGCUAAUACCGCAUAACGUCGCAAGACCAAAGAGGGGGACCUUCGGGCCUCUUGCCAUCAGAUGUGCCCAGAUGGGAUUAGCUAGUUGGUGAGGUAACGGCUCACCAAGGCGACGAUCCCUAGCUGGUCUGAGAGGAUGACCAGCCACACUGGAACUGAGACACGGUCCAGACUCCUACGGGAGGCAGCAGUGGGGAAUAUUGCACAAUGGGCGCAAGCCUGAUGCAGCCAUGCCGCGUGUAUGAAGAAGGCCUUCGGGUUGUAAAGUACUUUCAGCGGGGAGGAAGGUGUUG